AGCUGUAGCAGCCAAUCGGGGAGCGGUAUGAGGGCGGGCCCAACCUCGGCUCGGCCCCUUUCCUUCGCUUUGUGCUACGAAGGCGGGGCGCCGGGGAAAAGCAGGGCGAGGAGUGACGGGAACUGCGAGCCGGCUGUCGCCACAGCGGCCAGCAGGUCCCUGCGCGCAUCGGCCAGUAGCCCGCCCCAUGUCCCUGCUGGCCGACGCUCACUACGCAGUCCCACCGCCAUCGCGUCCGCUCUGCGGUGCCGGAGCUCCUGUCGCCUUAGAAAGGCCAGUGCGCCUGUGCGCGGGUACCCGGGCAUCUCGAGUGCUUCCUUCCAGCCUCUGGCCUUCCAGACGACCGGCCAACAUCCCUGCGGAGCAGCCAACCAGCUCCGGUCCCGCGGGCUCCAGCAGCCAUCCGCUGCUCCUUCCCCGCGCCUAGUCCCCGGACCCAACCGUCCUUACCCAGUUCUUGGACCCCGCUCUUCUCUCGCUGACUGGUCACGUCGCGCUUCCGCCGGGUUCCGCGUUCCUCAAAGCAAAUGACUUGGCCCUUACGAAUCCGGUCUUAAUAAAGUCCCAGCCUUCAAAGGGGUGGGGAUGGGCGGGAGGGAGGGAAAAAGAGGUCAGACUCGUGGCCGGGGUCGCACACGCAUCACCUGAGGAAGGAACCUGAAGAAACUCCUGAAAAUUCAGCCUGAAAUGACUAGAAGCAAUCAGCAAAAUCCCUGAUCCUAGGAAGGAUACAGACCAGAUCCUGACUCUCCUAGUGGCCUCAGUUCUACUCGUUGAGGGCCAUUCAGAAUAAACCUCCCUUUCCACGUGGAACCCGUUAAACUUCUGAAGACUCCUGCUCCUUACAGAGAAGUGUUGGAGCUGAUCAACAUCUGGAACAUGGGAGAUACCAGUGGAAAAUGGAGAAGGAGGACUCUUGGGGCUGCCUGUGUUCCCACCAGGUCUACUCGAAGCUCUGUGCAUGCAGCCUUAGACCAUGUUCCUGACCCAUAAAGCUGGGGCACUAGGGUCAUGGUAGUGACCAUGAUGGAUGGGCUCUGUGAGCUUUGAUGGAUGGAAGAUUUCCAUUCCUCAGUGGGCAGGUGGGUAGGUGGGCAGGGUGGGCCUGGGGAUCCCAGGGGUUUCAUCAGAUAGGCUGGGAAGGAAGGCCUCUGUGGUGGGGAAGAGAGGAGGGAGGAGUGCCAUGACCUAGGGAGAUGAAAGCCUGCUGGGUGGAAAACAGCCCUUGCAAAGGGCAUGGAAUUGGAAUGAGGCUGGAAAAAAACUGGUGGAAAGAAGCUCAAUGAGGGGAAUGCAGUGAUUUCCUGGCCCUAUGAGCCCCUAGGGAAUGGACAAUGGUUGGCACCUGAUGAAAAGCGGCAUAGUCAUGGCUCACCCCUCACCCAGUGCUAGAGGACUCGGGGCAGGCCACUGACCCACUCCCCAAUCUACAAUGAGGAGUGUGCUUCCCUCCCGGUGUGAGGACAGAUGAAAUCCCCAAGGGGAAUAAUUUAGGAGAAAGGAUCACAGAAUGUCCCCUCUUAAUGUGUGUCAGGGAUCCGUCCCUAACUCAUCUGAUAAUUGUUGGUUGCCUUUUAGAUUAAUUUGUUGUUGUUGUUGUUUUGGAGUGCUGGGGAUCAAACCCAGAGCCUCAAACAUGUUAGGCAAGUGUCUACCACUGAGCUACACCCACAUGUUAGGCAAGUGUCUACCACUGAGCUACACCCACAUCCCAUUUUUGGUUCAUUUUUGAAGGGUCAGAUUAACCUUUUGAAUUCUUUUUGGCUCAACCAGAAAGCUGGCAUUUCUUAAAGAUAUCAAACAUUUUGUGUAACUUCUGCUCACCCUGAAGUUUUCAGCUCAGAUGUCACUCUCUCAGGGAAGACUUGUCUGACCCCACAGAAGGUCUGGUUCCUGGAAUAUUUUCCAAUAGCACAAGAUUCCUUUGUCCUGACACUCAUCGCUGCCUAGGAGGUUCCAAUUAUGUUAAUAACACUGCAGUUUGCACCUCUGGUUCAUGUCUCUCUCCAGACCUGCAGUAUUUAUAAUUGCCUAUUACUAUGUUAUAUACAUCUUAAACUUCAAAGCUGUUGUAUUUCUCAUUGAACUUGCUCUUCUUCCUGAGUUUACAAUCUUGAUCAAAGGAAUGAGUGCCUGGUCAACUACCCAGGUUAAAGACUUUGCCUUUCAGUACACAUCCAUAUAUACAUCCUAUCCCGUUGGACCUUUCUCUCUUGAAGUGAAUGCUCCUUCUUUUACCCUGUGACCUUGGCCUCAAGACAUUGCAGAAGCUUCUUUCUCUACUUCAGCAUGUCCUCUGCAUUGCCACCAACAUUAUCUCCCUCACAGCAAAUCUAUCCUGGUGCUUUCUGAAGAUUUCUGAAAGUUCCCUCCUGUCCACAGAUUAGAGUUCAAGUCCUCAGCAUGGCACACAAGGCUCUACCUCCAAGCUACAAAUCCAUCUUCUACCAAUCUUUUAUCUCCUACUACUCUCCCCCAGUUUAUCCUCUUUAGUAACAACGAAUGUCUUACUUCUAGAAAAGUCCUGGUGAUCCUUUAAGGCCCCUACUCAAAUUUCUAGAGGUCAGAAAAGAUUUUUGUUGACCCUCCACAGUAGCAUCAGUCUCCCUUGCAAUGGUCCUAUGGUAAUUUGUUCAACCCUAAUUGUUAUAAUCAUAGUGUUGAGCUGUGGUUAGAACGUUCUGGAACUGAACUGCUAGAUGUGCACUUGUUGACUAUACUGCUUAGCUGCUGCAUUGCUCUGUGUCUCAGUUCUCACCAGGCCAAUGAGGAUAUUGCAGUUGCCACUUCACAGGGUGGCCAUGAGGACCUGAUGAGUGUGCACAUGCAUGUAUAGCUCAGGAGGGUACCUGACGCAGAGCAAGCCCACUAUAUAUAUUUGCUACAAUGCUCUAAAUUAUUUGUACUUGUCUCCUACCCCCAGACUCCAAGUUCCCCAAACCAGAGGUCUCCUAUCCUAGCCAAGUAGCAAUAGGAUGCCUUUAGAACUUGUAGAUUGAACAAAGGAGAGACUGGAUCUGCCCUAUGUUGUAGCUUAACCCACAUCCUGAGGGUCCCACCUCUUGGUUGUCUAGAACAUAUGACACAUACCUCCACAACUGUCUGUGCAGGGUGAAUCCGGAUGUUGACUGUGGCUUUGGCCACUGGAGGGAUGACGUUCACCUAAGGAGAGAACCACAAACCCUGGCCUGAGCCAACCUCAAGUUUUCCACAACUCAUCCCCGCCCAGGAAAUACCAAUUACCACCGGCAGGGGCAGAGGAAGCAAAUUUGAUAUAAAGAUCCUGGGUUUAAUUUU